CAAAUAUAAAGUAUGUAUCACAUCUAAGCCUCUUUGCAAUUCUGUAUAAAAAUACUUUUUUAAUUAAAAUGCGGAGAGAUGGUAUACAAAGCAGACUGAUCACAUUUGUUUUUCUCUACUCCAUUCCAGAACCUCCUUCUAUAACAGCAAAACUAUAUAAUGUAUACAAUUUUACGCCUUUAUACAAAGUCAAGAGAACAGGGUAAAAUCCUGCUUGCUGCACAUAACGGAAGAAAAGUUAAUACCAACGAAUCCCUCCUCCAACUACCACAAAGACAAGAAGGAUAUGCCAAUUCACCAUAAACUACAAUGAUGGUGGAGAAUAGGUAAUAUUCAUACACAAUUUAAGGAUUUUAAGAAACAAACGAAAGAGAUUUGUGGACGAAUACGGCAGACAGAUCAUAUGUGCUUAUUCUUUGCUCCACCCCAGCACCUCUUUCAAUACCAGUUAAAGGACAUAAGGUAAUAAUUUUAUGCCUGUCUACAAAGACAAGAGUGCAGGAGAAGAGAAGAGGGAAGGCCAGAUUGUCAACAGAAUUUUGGAAGUUGGAAAAUAGAUGGAUGAGUCAUAACUCAUUUACAGAGCAGAAAUGUUGAAACCAAACUGUCUGUUGGGGGUGGAGGAAAUGACAAUAACAAGCAAGCUGAUUCAUGCCAUAGACCCUCAAAGGCACAGUGAUAAGAGGGGUUAGAAUCUUCUGAAUAAGCCUAGGAUGUGGAGCUGGG
rnacentral:lncRNA from 1 species